GAGUAACACGUGUGCAACAACCCCGUACCGGGAGAUAACCCGCGGAAACGUGGACUAACAUCCCAUAACACUGGAGGAUCGCAUGAUCUUUCAUUUAAAAUUCCGGUGGUACGGGACGGGCACGCGCGACAUUAGGUAGUUGGCGGGGUAACGGCCCACCAAGCCGACGAUGUCUAGGGGUUCUGAGAGGAAGGUCCCCCACACUGGAACUGAGACACGGUCCAGACUCCUACGGGAGGCAGCAGUGAGGAAUAUUGGUCAAUGGGCGAGAGCCUGAACCAGCCAAGUCGCGUGAGGGAAGAAUGGUCUAUGGCCUGUAAACCUCUUUUGCCAGGGAAGAAUAAAAGGUACGUGUACCUUCUUGCCAGUACCUGACGAAUAAGCAUCGGCUAACUCCGUG
rnacentral:rRNA from 1 species